GCCAGCGUGGCUUAGUGGUUUGAGUGUUGGACUACAGCUCUGAAGACCAGGAUUUGAUUCCAUACUCUGACA